rnacentral:rRNA from 1 species
GCUGGCGGCAGGCCUACACAUGCAAGUCGAGCGGAUGAAGGGAGCUUGCUCUCUGAUUCAGCGGCGGACGGGUGAGUAAUGCCUAGGAAUCUGCCUGGUAGUGGGGGACAACGUUUCGAAAGGAGCGCUAAUACCGCAUACGUCCUACGGGAGAAAGCAGGGGACCUUCGGGCCUUGCGCUAUCAGAUGAGCCUAGGUCGGAUUAGCUAGUUGGUGAGGUAAUGGCUCACCAAGGCUACGAUCCGUAACUGGUCUGAGAGGAUGAUCAGUCACACUGGAACUGAGACACGGUCCAGACUCCUACGGGAGGCAGCAGUGGGGAAUAUUGGACAAUGGGCGAAAGCCUGAUCCAGCCAUGCCGCGUGUGUGAAGAAGGUCUUCGGAUUGUAAAGCACUUUAAGGUGGGAGGAAGGACAGUAAAUUAAUACUUUGCUGUUUUGACGUUACCGCCAGAAUAAGCACCGGCUAACUCUGUGCCAGCAGCCGCGGUAAUACAGAGGGUGCAAGCGUUAAUCGGAAUUACUGGGCGUAAAGCGCGCGUAGGUGGUUUGUUAAGUCGAAUGUGAAAUCCCCGGGCUCAACCUGGGAACUGCAUCCGAAACUGGCAAGCUAGAGUAUGGUAGAGGGUAGUGGAAUUUC